CCUACGGGAGGCAGCAGUGGGGAAUAUUGGACAAUGGGGGCAACCCUGAUCCAGCAAUGCCGCGUGUGUGAAGAAGGCCUUCGGGUUGUAAAGCACUUUCGAUGGGGAAAAACAAGCCAGACCUAACACGUCUGGCCCUGAUGGUACCCAGAGAAGAAGCACCGGCUAACUCUGUGCCAGCAGCCGCGGUAAUACAGAGGGUGCAAGCGUUAAUCGGAAUUACUGGGCGUAAAGGGUGCGUAGGUGGUUUGUUAAGUCAGGCGUGAAAUCCCUGGGCUCAACCUGGGAACUGCGUUUGAUACUGGCAGACUCGAGUCUGGUAGAGGGUAGUGGAAUUCCGCAUGUAGCGGUGAAAUGCGUAGAUAUGCGGAGGAACAUCAGUGGCGAAGGCGGCUACCUGGACCAAGACUGACACUGAGGCACGAAAGCGUGGGGAUCAAACAGGAUUAGAUACCCUGGUAGUCCACGCCCUAAACGAUGGGUACUAGACGUUGGGAGGUUUAUCCUCUUGGUGUCGCAGCUAACGCAAUAAGUACCCCGCCUGGGGAGUACGGUCGCAAGAUUAAAACUUAAAGGAAUUGACGG
rnacentral:rRNA from 1 species